rnacentral:misc_RNA from 1 species
UGCUUCCAAUCUGUCUGCACCCAUUUGAUACAGUAUUCGAUAUCCGAUUUGCGCGCUAUCAGAGCCCAAUACUUCAUCAGGUUGAUUGAAGAAUACCAAGCCAAGGAACAGAACCUCAGUCUCAAUAAAGGAUUCUUUUCUUCCAAUGUAAUGUAUAGCACACACUGUACUAUGGUGAAAAACGGCACAAGAUUACUGAAUCCGAUUACGACUUUUGGCAAAAAUUUGCCUAUGCCUUUUAACACAGUGGGCCAUACUCCGAUGCAAUUCAGAAUCCAUUUAUUGUGUUUCGUCACAUAAAUAAUGUCCUCCUUGUAGUUUGGAUUUUGCAAUUGAUCUGUCUGACGUCGAACGGAGAGAUGCAUAUUCGUGAACAGAUCGCAAACGACUGUUUACGACAGUUCAGGUGCAUCGAUUGUAAGGGCGAUGAGUUUGCGCUCGGGAUAUCGCGUGCAUGCAUUUCACGCAGCAAUUCAAAAUCGAUUAUUACUCAUCAAUGUAGCGAACGUCUGUAAUUAUAGUGAAUAACUAACUGGUAACGGGUAUAGAAUCUAACUUUCUGUCUAGAUCAGAGGCUUGAACCUUUCGAAGUUACGGAACAUAUUUGAUUAUGAGACAUUUGUGAAACAUUGAAAUCCC